ensembl:lncRNA
GUUUCUGAGAAAAUUAUGAAGCUGUCAGCUUGGGCAGAACUGCAUCACCUUGUGGGGCCAGGCCUGUCUGAUUCACUGCCAAGCUAACCAGAAAACCUACGGCUGACGGAGAUACCAUCAGAGCUGAUAUGUGAUUGAGCAUCACUGCAGACACACCUCAGCAAACAAAGAGCAGCAGCAAAAACAGACAAGUUUAAUAUCUUCAGGAAACCUCUCGGAGUGCCUCUUUCCUCCUGGAAAGCGAUGGGAUUCUGCUGUGAUGGGCAGUGUGGAAGGCGCUGUUUGUUUGCAAGGUAAUGACUACAUGUGGCAACCCCUUCUUUCCUUACGUUCACCUGCAGCCACACAGCUGGCUCCAAAACCAGCUCUGCAGGAGCAGAGAGCGGCAGAG